rnacentral:tRNA from 1 species
CGAGUUAUAACUUAAUAGGUCAAAUGUCUGGUCUUGAUCCAGAAAAUAUAGGUUCAAAUCCUGUUAACUCAU